CCCCGUCAAUUCCUUUGAGUUUCAUUCUGCGAACGUACUCCCCAGGUGGGAUACUUAUAACUUUCGCUUAGCCACUGAACCCGAAAGCCCAACAGCAAGUAUCCAUCGUUUACGGCAUGGACUACCAGGGUAUCUAAUCCUGUUCGCUCCCCACGCUUUCGUCCAUCAGCGUCAGUUAAUGUUUAGUCACCUGCCUUCGCAAUUGGUGUUCUGCGUAAUAUCUAAGCAUUUCACCGCUACACUACACAUUCCAGCAACUUCAACAUCACUCAAGACUAACAGUAUCAAUGGCAGUUUCAUAGUUAAGCUAUGAGAUUUCACCACUGACUGAUUAAUCCGCCUACGGACCCUUUAAACCCAAUAAAUCCGGAUAACGCUUGCACCCUCCGUAUUACCGCGGCUGCUGGCACGGAGUUAGCCGGUGCUUAUUCUUCUGGUACCUUCAGCUACUUACACGUAAGUAGGUUUAUCCCCAGAUAAAAGUAGUUUACAACCCAUAAGGCCGUCAUCCUACACGCGGGAUGGCUGGAUCAGGCUUCCACCCAUUGUCCAAUAUUCCUCACUGCUGCCUCCCGUAGGAGUCUGGUCCGUGUCUCAGUACCAGUGUGGGGGUUCACCCUCUCAGGCCCCCUAAAGAUCAUCGUCUUGGUGAGCCGUUACCUCACCAACUAACUAAUCUUACGCAUGCCUAUCCUACUGCGAUAAAUCUUUCAAAAUCUAAUGAUGCCAUUAAAUCUGUUAUAAAGUAUUAAUCCUCCUUUCGAAGGGCUAUCCUUUUCAGUAGGGCAAGUUGCAUACGCGUUACGCACCCGUGCGCCGGUCUCUAGUUAGCAAGCUAACUAUACCCCUCGGCUUGCAUGUGUUAAGCCUCCCGCUAGCGUUCAUCCUGAGCCAUGAUCAAACUC
rnacentral:rRNA from 1 species